AGUGGGGGUGAGAAACUGGCUUGGCUUAUAUGUAAAAUGACAGUCAGUCUUUUUCUCUCUCCUAUC
rfam:Trachymyrmex cornetzi contig41907, whole genome shotgun sequence.